AAGUCGUAACAAGGUUUCCGUAGGUGAACCUGCGGAAGGAUCAUUAGUGAAUUUUAGCGCGUCUACUUCGGUAGAGCGUGACCUCCACUUUCUAACUCUGUGCACUAUGGCGGAACCCGUGGAAGAGAGUCAAAUCUCGGAAACAGGUUCUGCGGCUCAUUUUAAAACACUAGUUAAAGAAUGUAACGAAAUGUCGAAACAAAAAAAAACUUUCAACAACGGAUCUCUUGGCUCUC
rnacentral:misc_RNA from 1 species